rnacentral:rRNA from 1 species
AGAGUUUGAUCCUGGCUCAGGAUGAACGCUAGCGAUGUGCCUAAGAUAUGCAAGUCGAACGAGAAGCCUAGCUUGCUAGGUGGACAGUGGCAGACGGCUGAGUAACGCGUGGGAAUCACCCCUAGACUCAGGGAUAGUUCUCCGAAAGGUGACGUAAUACCUGAUAGUCCCUUUAGCCUUGGCUAUAUGGGUAAAGCUCCGGCGGUCUAGGACGAGCCCGCGUCCUAUCAGGUUGUUGGUGGGGUAAAAGCCUACCAAGCCUAUGACGGGUAGCUGGUCUGAGAGGAUGAUCAGCCAGACUGGGACUGAGACACGGCCCAGACUCCUACGGGAGGCAGCAAUUAGGAAUCGUGCGCAAUGGGCGAAAGCCUGACGCCGCGACAUCGCGUGGAGGAUGACGGUCUUAGGAUUGUAAACUCCUUUUCUCAUCGAACAAGUUCUGAGUGUAGAUGAGGAAUAAGUGCCUGCUAACCACGUGCCAGAAGCAUCGGUAAUACGUGGGGCACAAGCGUUAUCCGGAUUUACUGGGCGUAAAGAGAUGCGUAGGCGUCUUCUCAAGUCAAUUGUUAAAUCUUCUGGCUCAACCAGAAAAGCGCAAUUGAUACUGAGUUGAUUGAGGUAGAUAGGGGAGAGCAGAAUUCCUGGUGGAGCGGUUAAAUGCGUAGAUAUCAGGAGGAAUACCAGUGGCGAAGGCGGCUCUCUGGAUCUAACCUGACGCUAAGGCUCGAAAGCGUGGGUAGCGAAACGGAUUAGAUACCCGUGUAGUCCACGCCGUAAACGAUCCCUGCUAGGUGUUUGUUUCGAAUUCUUUAUUUUCUUCGGAAAGUUUAGAAGAGAAAUGGGUGCCACAGCUAACGCAGUAAGCAGGGCGCCUGGGGAGUACGGCCGCAAGGCUAAAACUCAAAGGAAUUGACGGGGACCCGCACAAGCAGUGGAGCGCCUGGUUUAAUUCGAUGUUCAGCGAAAAAUCUCACCUGGGUUUGAACUGUUACUACUAAGACUGUGAAAGCAGUCCUCUGGUUUGAAGUUACAGAGGUGGUGCAUGGCUGUCGUCAGCUCGUGUCGUGAGAUGUAGGGUUAAGUCCCACAACGAGCGCAACCCCUACCCUGUGUUAUAUAUUUCUCAGGGAACUGCCCUGUCCAAACGGGGAGGAAGGUGGGGACGACGUCCAGUCAUCAUGUCCCUUAUGCCCAGGGCUACACAGACGCUACAAUGGCUAAUACAAUGGGCUGCCAAGCCGUAAGGCGGAGCUAAUCCCAUCAAAAUUAGUCCCAGUUCGGAUUGUAGGCUGAAAUUCGCCUACAUGAAGUCGGAAUUGCUAGUAAUCGCGCAUCAGCAUGGCGCGGUGAAUACGUUCUCGGGUCUUGUACACACCGCCCGUCAAGGCACGGAAGUUGCUCUUGCUCGAAGCCCUCGUUAAUCGGGGUCGAAAGUGAGGGUGGCGACCAGGCUUAAGUCGUAACAAGGUA